rnacentral:rRNA from 1 species
GACGAACGCUGGCGGCGUGCUUAACACAUGCAAGUCGAACGGAAAGGCCCUGCUUUUGUGGGGUGCUCGAGUGGCGAACGGGUGAGUAACACGUGAGUAACCUGCCCUUGACUUUGGGAUAACUUCAGGAAACUGGGGCUAAUACCGGAUAGGAGCUCCCGCUGCAUGGUGGGGGUUGGAAAGUUUCGGCGGUUGGGGAUGGACUCGCGGCUUAUCAGCUUGUUGGUGGGGUAGUGGCUUACCAAGGCUUUGACGGGUAGCCGGCCUGAGAGGGUGACCGGCCACAUUGGGACUGAGAUACGGCCCAGACUCCUACGGGAGUCAGCAGGGGGGAAUAUUGCACAAUGGGCGGAAGCCUGAUGCAGCAACGCCGCGUGCGGGAUGACGGCCUUCGGGUUGUAAACCGCUUUCGCCUGUGACGAAGCGUGAGUGACGGUAAUGGGUAAAGAAGCACCGGCUAACUACGUG